rnacentral:lncRNA from 1 species
UAGUGACGAAAAGUCCUCAGUUAUGAAAACAAAAUCUCCAAACUUCUUUGUGAGAAAGGACAUAUAGACAACAGGAUGAAUGUGGUAUCCUUCUAGAAGCUUGAGCUUGUAUACAACUUGACCAAUCUUUUGUGUAAUCUUAUAAGGGCCAUAAAAGCGACAUGGUAAUUUCUGAAAUGCUCUCCUAAAGACGGUUUAUUG